UAGCUCAGCGGGAGAGCAC
rnacentral:miRNA from 1 species